rnacentral:rRNA from 1 species
GAGUUUGAUCGUGGCUCAGAUUGAACGCUGGCGGAAUGCUUUACACAUGCAAGUCGAGCGGCAGCGCGGGGCAACCUGGCGGCGAGCGGCGAACGGGUGAGUAAUGCAUCGGAACAUGUCCAUGUCGUGGGGGAUAGCCCGGCGAAAGCCGGAUUAAUACCGCAUACGCCCGAGAGGGGAAAGUGGGGGACCGCAAGGCCUCACGCGAUUGGGUUGGCCGAUGUCCGAUUAGCUAGUUGGUGGGGUAAAGGCCUACCAAGGCGAUGAUCGGUAGCUGGUCUGAGAGGAUGAUCAGCCACACUGGGACUGAGACACGGCCCAGACUCCUACGGGAGGCAGCAGUGGGGAAUUUUGGACAAUGGGGGCAACCCUGAUCCAGCCAUUCCGCGUGAGUGAAGAAGGCCUUCGGUUGUAACU